CAUUCAUGAUCAUUAUCAUCUUAAAUAUCCUUAAAACUCAACGACGUUCUUCCAAAAUGGGGAGAAUAUAAAGUCUCAUAAAUGGUAAUGAGUACUAUUUGUAUAGCAAUGAGUGUGCCAAUGCUUUUAAUUAGGUUAGAUAGGCUUGAAGUCAUUGCUAGAGAGGUGAUUUAGGCAUAAGUUAGUGUGCGUAGUAUUGCAUUCAUCCAGACAACUAACCUUCCCAUAUUCAUACCUAAUCAUGUGUUAAUUGAACUCGGUCACAUGUAUAAGAAACAUGAUUCAAUUAAUUCAUAUUUAAGGACAAUUUCAUAAACUAAAAUAAAUACCAAACUUGAAUCCAUGAACAUAAAAAAUUGUUCACAAAGUAAACCAAAGUUACUAAGGCGAUUCAGCCAAUAUGGCCAUCCAUUUCAAAAUUCUGCUUUUCCAAAUGUGUCAGGUGGAGCAAAAUUAGCCUUAGAUAUUGAUUACAAAAAUGGUACUCCUUAACAACUUUGGUAGGGGCACGGACUAGUGCAUAACCAAUGAUCUCUUCCAUCAAAACAGAAGUACAUUUUGUAGGGUUGAUGUGAUAUAAACUAGCACACAAAUUAAACCCUCUUAUUGACAAUUGUAGUAAAGAUGUAAGUAGGGAUCGUUCUAGGCCGGGGAUUAGGAGGGAUUGUUAAUGUACUUAAAACUGACUCAAAAACACAAAACUAGGCUUGAAAACACUUAACUAGACUCAAAGAACUUGAAACAAACUAAAGAGACUCAAAACAACACAAAAUAAUCAAAUAGACUCAAACUAGACACUAAAGGGUGAUUUGGAUGAAAAUUGAUUUUAACUUGACUCAAAACACUUAAAAACACAAGUUUGGACAGAUUCUAACUAAUUUGACACAACAAAGUAAAGGGGAUUGGGUUUUUGACAAAUUUAAAGUAAAGACAAGUAGAUUAAAGACUUUAACAAGUUUGUAAUGAAAUUGGGGGAAAUUAUGGGUGAUUGGCUAGCUAGAGGGUCCUUCUCCACACAUGACACACUUGCAUACAAAUCGAUUUCCAGUUGCUUUUCCAAUAACCAUGAAACUCAACACCCCAGAUUAACCGUG
rnacentral:lncRNA from 1 species